GGAGGGUUCGCAUAAUUGGUAGUGCAGCAGUCUUGAAAACUGCCGUCCGAGAGGACAUGUGGGUUCGAGUCCCACACCCUCCGCAA
rnacentral:tRNA from 1 species